rnacentral:misc_RNA from 1 species
CAUCAUUCAGCCUGGGCCAAGAAAGCUUUCGGCUUUAAUCUCGUCUCCUUUCCUCCUUCUAUAUAUAACGUUUUUCUAUAGUACUUUUUCGUCUGAUCCCCAACAAAACUUUUAUAGUGCUUUCUCUCUCUGAUUGUAAGGGCAAGAAUGGGUAGUCUUGAAACUGAGAGAACUGUGGUAGGAUGGGCAGCAAAAGAUCCAUCUGGGGUCCUUUCUCCUUAUUCCUACACUAUCAGAAACACAGGCCCAGAGGAUAUUUUGUUGAAAGUUCUCAGCUGUGGAAUCUGCCACACUGA